rnacentral:rRNA from 1 species
GACGAACGCUGGCGGCGUGCUUAACACAUGCAAGUCGAACGGUGAAGCGAGUGCUUGCACUCGUGGAUCAGUGGCGAACGGGUGAGUAACACGUGAGUAACCUGCCCAUCACUCUGGGAUAAGCACUGGAAACGGUGUCUAAUACUGGAUACGACCAACCCUUGCAUGGGGUGUUGGUGGAAAGAUUUAUCGGUGAUGGAUGGACUCGCGGCCUAUCAGCUUGUUGGCGGGGUAAUGGCCCACCAAGGCGACGACGGGUAGCCGGCCUGAGAGGGUGACCGGCCACACUGGGACUGAGACACGGCCCAGACUCCUACGGGAGGCAGCAGUGGGGAAUAUUGCACAAUGGGCGCAAGCCUGAUGCAGCGACGCCGCGUGAGGGAUGACGGCCUUCGGGUUGUAAACCUCUUUCAGCAGGGAAGAAGCGAAAGUGACGGUACCUGCAGAAGAAGCACCGGCUAACUACGUG